UGAGUAACCUGCCCCAGACUCUGGAAUAACCCCGGGAAACCGGAGCUAAUACCGGAUACGAGACGAAGCUUCAUGGCUAUCGUCUGGAAAGUUUUUCGGUCUGGGAUGGACUCGCGGCCUAUCAGCUUGUUGGUGAGGUAAUGGCUCACCAAGGCGACGAUCCGUAGCUGGUCUGAGAGGACGAUCAGCCACACUGGGACUGAGACACGGCCCAGACCUCCGUACGGGGAGGNAG
rnacentral:rRNA from 1 species